rnacentral:lncRNA from 1 species
UGUGAAGCAUGAGCUGAAACAAUGGACCAUCUUUUUCGAGAGUGUCCUGUCACAAUAGAUGUAUGGAUAGCUUUAUCAUUUCAAGGUUUUUUAAUGGAUCAGAGUAUGAAUUUCGUACAGUGGAUUACCUGGGUAUUAGAACAACUCAACCCUUGUCAAAGCCGUUUAUUCUGCUGCGCUUUGUGGGCAAUAUGGGGAGAUCGAAACAGGAGAAUACACGAAGGAAAAGUCAGUAAUGGAAAAGAGAUUGCAAAUUUCACCAGCAAUUACAUUACUGAGCUAACUAACUUUGGAAAAAGAAAAUCAAAAAAAUCAUAGAAAAACAGAGAUGGCAGCACCCACAUCGUGAGUUUAUAAAGAUAAAUUUCGAUGGAGCAUAUAAUGAGAGUCAGUAUUGUUCAGCCUCAGGUAUUGUGGCCAGAGAUGCCGAAGGAAGAGUUUUGUUAUCCUAUUCAGAGAUACAAAGAGACAUUACCUCUGCAUUUGCUGCUGAAGCAAUAGCUUGUUGGAGAGCAAUUCAAAUAGGAGUUGAUAGGGGAUGGCAGUCAGUCAUUUUUGAAUAAGAUUCCCUCGCAGUAAUUAAAAAAUACAAUACCAAAGGUCAAGAUCGAUCAAUGAUAGGGGUAUAUAUUCAUGAUAUUCGGCAGAAAAUAAGUGAGUUCAAUAACGUCAGUUUUCAACACACACCAAGAUCUGCAAAUAAUCUCACACAUAUUCUUGCAACAGAAACCCUAAGAAGGAAAGAGGAGGUUUACCUAGAAAUGGAGGUCCCUGAGUAUGCCAAAGAUCAAAGAAGAUAUGAUCAGUUGCGCGAACCAAACUAGGAAAUGCCAGGAGAUAAGGAAAGGAAGGAAGAAAGCUUCAAAACUAAAAAAAUGAAACUAUUCAGAAGAAGUUUUGAACGAAAAAUCGUCAAACUGGAAAUGAAAUGAUGGGAAGACGAGAUGACAGAUUUCAGCAAAUUUUGAUUGGGCAAUAGGUCAGUGCAUUUAAUGUAGGUUCUAGAAUUCUCUCUUUUAAUUUCUAGAUAUUUAUUUCAAC